rnacentral:lncRNA from 1 species
UGGGUGUUAUUUUAAAAUGAUAUAUGUAUAGAGGUUUUUCAACCAUUACUUCAUUGGCACAAAACAUUUAUAACUGCAAAUACCUUUUUUUUAAAGUAAAACUAAUAAAAGCGUGUACAACAAAUGUAUUUUGAUAUAUAUUAUAUGCAUCAAGUUAUAAAGGUUGGAAACAUUGCAAAACUGUUUGGAGCAAAGUUUUUAACUUCACGAUCUUCAUCUUGACAUUAGUCCAGUGCCGGCCCUGGCCACAAGCAGAAGAAGCAUGGGCUUCCAGCCAACACGAUAAUAAGUAUUUUCGCGGCUUCAUAUUUAUAAAAAGUGAUUUUAGCCUAGUGGUUCUAAGAGAAAUUAUCAGUGCUGGAGAUGUUGGGUUCAAUUACCCCUGACAGCUUUUUGUUUUAUUUUGGCCUCAAAUAUAAAAUGGGACACGUGUCACUCACAUAACGCACGACUUGAUGACGUGACAUCACAGGAGGGAGGCGAACAUAUUUUUAUAUAUAUAGAUUAUUCAUAUUUUUAAACAGUACUUCAGUUUUAAUAAAAUAGAUAUACAUGUAUCGUUGUAUCAACUAUCAACCACGCGGUAUACACAUAAACCUUCUGUUUAUUGUUUUUUACACAAAACUUUGAUUUUUCCUAAAACAAACGCUUGUCAAUAUGAAACAUGCGGAUUCGAAUACAGGGACCGACACAGUGAUGGUACUAACAUAAACCAAUAUGUUGAAUAUCCUGGUGUCUUAUUACAAUGUUUCAACUAAGAGGAUUUUUAGCAAUUGUGUAUUUAAUGCAAAUGCGAUGUUAUAUAUAGGGACUCUGUAAUGCAUAUUGAUGUUGUAAGAUAUGUAGGGAAUUUGUUUUAUGCAAAACUAUCGGGUCCUAGCUAUAUACAUAUUAAAAAAAAACCUAUAUACACAUAUUUUAAAGUGUAAAAUACUUAUACAUUUAAUUUUUAAAUCUAAUUGGUCUGGAGAUUGAAACGAAAUAAUGUAUGAUCAAAAUAAAAUAAAAUAAAAUAAACAGUAAGGAGAGUACCUGCAAAACAUAGAAGCAAGACCAAGCAACACAACCGAGGAGUAUCAACAAGGUUCCACCAACCCAAUGAUUAUGGUCUUGUGAACUGUUGCUAUGUUCGUUGUGUUGAUUCGUAUUUGGGUUAGACCAUUGUAAAGGAAUAAGUGGACCUUUGUACAAUGUCAUGACCAAUGCCCCUCCAAGAGCAACCAAUGUCCCAAUUAUCUUUGCUUGGCUUCGUACCUCUGCUAUAUUCACUUUCUCCAUUCUGUUCACAUAUCACCGUUUCCAGGUAGUUUAAACAUGUGUUUUCGUUUUAUAUAACUAGGAUCUUAGACUGAAAUCCAGGGGAUACUCUUUCAUUUUAGAUAUUCAUAGUGAUUACCACAAUUAAAAUAACAUUGAGAGGACUCGAAAGUACUCUGCUAGUCCUCCAAGCGAAUUCUUUUCCCAUUGAAACAUAAUAAGUGAGCUUAAUAUGUGUCUCAACCACUGAUUACCUUAGAAUCCAAGCGAUUAUGAAAGUGACAGAAGGAAGAACGUUCAUGAUAGCAGAUGUAUAUGUUGCUGAUGUCAUGUUCAUCCCCAAGUAACCAAAACCCUGGUCCAAUAUUGGCCUACAGAGGCCGGUACAAAAGCAUGUAUUAAGGGUAUCUUUCUGAAAUAUCAUCGCUCUGUUUUUUUUUCUUCUUAGUUUACAAACAUAAUGAUUUUUUUCGAUAUAAGUGCUUAAAAGGAGAAGAUUAAUUCUUACUCUAAAAAGCCGAGUAACACUAUUUUCCAGAAAACCGAUAGUGUCAUCUUCGGCCUCACUUUCCUGUAAAAUCAAAAUCAAGCCCAUUAAGAAAAAAAGUAAUCAAAUUUAAACCAUUGUUGUUUUCUUAAUCCAUAAAAUAUGUAAUAUAAUAUAAUUAUUGCAUGUUUUACAUGGAUUGACCUUUCAAAGAAGAUUGCAAAAGGUGCGAGAACAAGAGCAGCAACAGCAUUGCGGUACACAAUCAGAACGUAACGAUUCUGGCCUUGAUUGAGAGUGGCCAUAAUGACAAUAUACGUUCCUGCUCCUCCAAAUUGCAAAAAUAUCAUUAACAAAAAUGGUCUAAAGUUUUUGAUGAUCGUACUUACACCCUCCAUGGUUAUUGAUUCUUUUCUUUUUGUGUUAUUGAAGUUAAAUUUUCUGAAUGUUAAGAAGUGUCAGAGCUGAUGGGGAAAAUAUGAUGAGCGAGUCAUCUUAAAUAAAACAUCAAAAAGGUGAUACAGAGUUUUAGAUAAACAUGAGAACUUGUUUUUCCUCUGAUCGAGAGUGAUUAACUAAAGAAACAACGUCUUUUAUCAAAAAUAAAAAGAAAAAGAAAAAAGAAACACAAUAAAGUGUAUACCGUGUAUAUGCAUAUCUAUAAGGCCACGACCGAUAGGAUACGAUAUUCAAUAAUGGUAAUAAUUUUAUUUUGGAUGGGUAUGGGUUCAUUCAAGCAAUCGUAAAGCAGACAAUAAUCCAUAUAGGCUUUGAUAAUUAUUUUGCUAACACACAUAUCUUGCUCACGUCAUUUUUUUAUUAUUUGUUUGUGCUUUGCCAAACUUGAUAAACAUAUAAACCGGAAAGCUACAUUUCUAAUACUGGAGCCAAAUUUCACAAUCACAGAACGUCAGAACGUAACGUCUUCGGAUUUUGAGCAAACCGUUAUGAACUUGUAGUUAUUUGAGUAUGAUUCUCGUUUUCUUUAUAAGAAAAGUAGGAGAAAAUGUAUUUUAGGUUAGGAUGUUUAUACUUUAGUUACUUCCAUUUUUUAUUUACCGUAGGAGAUGGACAUAUAUCUACUAAACCAAUUGAUAGACCAUGGACAGCUAGCACCGUGCGAACGUUGUUUUCAGGAGCCUAAGGCAAUUUGUUUUCUUUUGACAAUAUUUAAGGCAAUUUUUUUUUCAAAUGAUCUUUUCAUUUAAGAUUUUGGUAUGUUCACAUAAAACUAAAAUAUAGAAAAAAAUAUACAAUCAAACUUUUUAUGUACAGUAUGUAUGUAAACAUAUAUAACACUAACUAAUGCAUUUAUAUGUAAAAUGGGGCCGUAAAUAUGAACUAAAAAUUAUGGAGCCUAAAGCCAUUGCCUUUUCCAACAAGGAGUAAGCACGGUUCUGACAAUGGAUUUGACCUACUUUUACCUGUGGUUUAUAAGUGUUUUAAUUACUAAUUAUUAUAUUAUAGAGUCUAUUUAUAGUAUUUAUAGGACCAUGAGUGAUUUGGAGGAAAAUGAUGAUUUUGGAGCAUUUUGGAGAUAUUUGGAGUAAACACCCGAGAUGAACAUCGAGCUCGAUCAUCGGUUGAUAAUGAAGAGGAAUGAUCGAUUGAUGUUCACAUUGACAACGAUCGACAGCGAAGCGCAAAAAGCCUGUUUGGUCACAGCCGACUUAGAGCCCAAGUCUUCACCAAUUUACAAGAUUACCCCUGACGAGUUUUAACCUAAUUAUAUAAGCUUUGCCAACAUGUUAGAGGCAGAGUGUGCUUUCUUGAAUUUCUAUUUUCACAGCAAAUGUUUUCUAGGAUUUUAGUAGAUUGGAGAGAAGAUCCAAAGUUAUUUGUAAUUGGAACUCCAUUGUUAUCUAUCUAUUAUUCUAAUGCAGGUUUCAUACCUAUUUGCUGUUAUGAAUUGUUUGGCCAUGUCUGAGAAGUUCUCUUGGUAGAUUUUACGGUUUAAAUAGGUUAUGAGGGAUUAGCCCCAACUAUAGAUUGCUAAGUUGUGAUAUUAAUCAUUAGGAUUAUCAUUAAUGCGUGAUUCUAGAUUAGCAACCUAGAACUUGCCCUAGGAUUGUUAGAUAUAAGCGAUACCUUUCAUCUCAUCCUGAAACCAUUCUAAUUGAGCUAAGAUCUUGCUAAGAGUAAGGUGAGAUCUUAUCUAGUGAGCUUAGUGAAUACAUUCAACCAGCGCAUUAACGCUUGACCAACAACAUCGAUCGAAAUUCAAAUAGAAUAAUUGGUAAACGUUUCGAAUAGUGAAUCGAUCGAUAUUCAUAUAGAAUCAUCGAUCGACACUUGUCAAUAGAAGAACCUAGAAAACGAGAGCCUAGUGGUUCGUUUAUAAGUGUUCAGCUCUACAAUAUCAUGCAUACAACUUGUUAGGCAUCUAUAGGAUUUAUAAUUCCAAAUUUUCUGAAUAAAAACCCAAAGUCUGGCUAUUUCCUUUUAAGCACCAAAACCGCAACCAAUCAAUCGAGAAAUUACUUUCUCAACAACUACAACUUUACAUUUAAACAAUUAAAUCAUCUAGCUUAACAAGUCUGAUUAGAUUUAUUAGGUUCCCUAGCUCCUUGUGGAUUCGAUCCUUAAGUACUACAAUUGAACCUCUUAUUUAGGAGAGUAAAAUAAAUCCUUAGGGUAAUUUGAGUGAUAUCAAUUUUGGCGCCGUUGUCAGGGAGUUUUGAUCGCCUAUUAGAUUUGAUUCUUGUUAAGUUAAAAACCGUUUUUUGACAAAAAAAAAUUUUCUUGGCUUUUCAGGUACAUGCCUAGCAGUAACAGAAGCAACAAGAAAACUCAACUGCUAUUCUCAUCAGAUUAGAUGAUAUGCUUGAUGAGUUACAUGGUUCUUGCAUAUUUUCUAAAAUUGAUUUGAAAAGUGGAUAUCAUCAGAUCAGGAUGAAAGAAGGAGAUGAGUGGAAAACUGCUUUUAAAACUAAACAUGGCUUGUAUGAAUGGUUAGUUAUGCCAUUUGGAUUAACCAAUGCUCCUAGUACAAUCAUGAGACUGAUGAAUCAUAUUCUUAGGUCUUUCAUAGACAUCUUUGUUGUUAUGUACUUUGAUGAUAUAUUAGUUUACAGCAAAUGCUUAGAAGAUCAUAUAGAACAUCUUAGGGCUGUUUUGGAUGUUUUGAGAAAAGAAAAGCUUUAUGCCAAUAUAAAGAAGUGUACUUUUUGCACAGAUAACUUGGUCUUGCUAGGUUUUGUUGUAAGUGCAGAUGGUGUAAAGGUGGAUCAGGAGAAGAUCAAAGCAAUACAAGAGUGGCCGGAUGUUGGGUUCAAUUACCCCUGACAGCUUUUUGUUUUAUUUUGGCCUCAAAUAUAAAAUGGGACACGUGUCACUCACAUAACGCACGACUUGAUGACGUGACAUCACAGGAGGGAGGCGAACAUAUUUUUAUAUAUAUAGAUUAUUCAUAUUUUUAAACAGUACUUCAGUUUUAAUAAAAUAGAUAUACAUGUAUCGUUGUAUCAACUAUCAACCACGCGGUAUACACAUAAACCUUCUGUUUAUUGUUUUUUACACAAAACUUUGAUUUUUCCUAAAACAAACGCUUGUCAAUAUGAAACAUGCGGAUUCGAAUACAGGGACCGACACAGUGAUGGUACUAACAUAAACCAAUAUGUUGAAUAUCCUGGUGUCUUAUUACAAUGUUUCAACUAAGAGGAUUUUUAGCAAUUGUGUAUUUAAUGCAAAUGCGAUGUUAUAUAUAGGGACUCUGUAAUGCAUAUUGAUGUUGUAAGAUAUGUAGGGAAUUUGUUUUAUGCAAAACUAUCGGGUCCUAGCUAUAUACAUAUUAAAAAAAAACCUAUAUACACAUAUUUUAAAGUGUAAAAUACUUAUACAUUUAAUUUUUAAAUCUAAUUGGUCUGGAGAUUGAAACGAAAUAAUGUAUGAUCAAAAUAAAAUAAAAUAAAAUAAACAGUAAGGAGAGUACCUGCAAAACAUAGAAGCAAGACCAAGCAACACAACCGAGGAGUAUCAACAAGGUUCCACCAACCCAAUGAUUAUGGUCUUGUGAACUGUUGCUAUGUUCGUUGUGUUGAUUCGUAUUUGGGUUAGACCAUUGUAAAGGAAUAAGUGGACCUUUGUACAAUGUCAUGACCAAUGCCCCUCCAAGAGCAACCAAUGUCCCAAU